UACGGAGGGAGUUAGCGUUGUUCGGAAUUACUGGGCGUAAAGCGCACGUAGGCGGCUUUGUAAGUUAGAGGUGAAAGCCCGGGGCUCAACUCCGGAACUGCCUUUAAGACUGCAUCGCUUGAAUCCAGGAGAGGUGAGUGGAAUUCCGAGUGUAGAGGUGAAAUUCGUAGAUAUUGGGAAGAACACCGGUGGCGAAGGCGGCUCUCUGGACCGUAACUGACGCUGAGGCGCGAAAGCGUGGGGAGCAAACAGG
rnacentral:rRNA from 1 species